AGACCAUGAUGUGGACAUAUCCUCAUCAUGUCUGUGUAUCUCUCCCACGCAUCGUAGAGAGAUUCUACAUCUUUUUGUCGAAAUCCGUUGAUUUGAGCUCUUAGCAU